GCUGAUGGUUGUGUCCUUCACAUCUCUCAACAAAUGCUCGACGCCAAUCUCCUCAACUUCGUGAGCAGCAAUUUCUGAAGGCACGUGCACAAAUACCUUUUGACUCUUUUGAGUGGCAUUCUCUUUCACCUCUUCAACAGCAUAGUAAGCUUUGGUUGGUAUCCCAAGCUCUUUCGGUUGGACGUCAAUAAUAACCAAGACAGGAUUAGGCACAUAUCCGGAGAACAAGGCAUGAAUAUCCAAAUCAUUCUCUCGUAGUUUGGGACCAGUGCUAUACCAA
rnacentral:misc_RNA from 1 species